UUGUACUCUCUCGAGUUUCUCUCCUGUAUCGUGUUGGUUAUCAAAUUGUUCCUUCAGUUCUCAAAUUGUUGAAUGUUCUGACAAAAAAUCCCAGUCUGCAAUAAAACUUAACAUGACAGUGGUCCCUCUGAUCGGCUUGACCUCUCAAUACAGCAGCAGUCUGACACAAACAAGUUGUGUGCAUUGCUGGCAAGGACAGCACUUGUUUCCAUUCUUGAGCUGAGUGGCUUUCAAGUUCAUGUGAAAUGAUAUUGAAGAAUCACCCAAAAGAGCUCCACUUCCUCAUGCCUUUGCACGU